GGCCCCUUCGUCUAGUCAGGUCCAGGACGCCAGGUUCUCAUCCUGGCAACAGGGGUUCGAAUCCCCUAGGGGUCA
rnacentral:tRNA from 1 species